CCCUGAGUGACAUAAAUGGUGGAUGUGUUUGGCUGCUAACCAAAAGGUUGGAGGCUUGAGUCCACCCAGAGGUG
rnacentral:tRNA from 1 species